rnacentral:rRNA from 1 species
UACAGAGGGUGCAAGCGUUGUUCGGAUUAUUGGCGUAAAGCGCGUGUAGGCGGCUUUGCAAGUCGGGUGUGAAAGCCCUCAGCUUAACUGAGGAAGUGCGCCCGAAACUGCUUAGCUUGAGUGCCGGAGAGGAUGGCGGAAUUCCCCAAGUAGAGGUGAAAUUCGUAGAUAUGGGGAGGAACACCGGUGGCGAAGGCGGCCAUCUGGACGGUAACUGACGCUGAGGCGCGAAAGCGUGGGGUAGCAAACAGG